UCUCUUUUUCUCAUUUUGUUAGAUCUCAAGCAUUUUGCUAUAGAUGAACACAUGCAUAUUUAAUAUAUUCUAUAUUUAUUAUACUUAUUUAGAUUUUAUAGGAUCAAUUUCAAAAGCAUAUACUUAUAAUAAAUAAUCUCUAUUUAAUUUCUUAGAACACUCCUUUUUAUUAAGGAUUUUUCAAGCUAGGUUUUUCUCUUAUAAGAUAUCACUAGCUCUUUGGUUUUGAUUCUUAUCUUGAUUUUUUUUUGUUAUUUGUCGUCUUUAACUUUUAAAAUCCCAUCUAUAAAAAGUUUUGGAUCGAAUAGGAGAUUAAUCUCAAAAUCGAUCUAAACUGCAUCGCAAAAACUCUGAUGAAAUAUGAUUUUCUUUAAUGUUUUAAAAUGCGUGUUUUUUUAGGUUACCUUAGAAUAUUUAUAAAAUUUUUUUCCCUUUAAUUUUAAAAUUCCUUCUAUAAAAGGCUUUGAAUCAGAUGAAUGUUUACCUCAAAACUGAUUUGAAUUGUAUCGCGAACAACCUCAUGGUUAACUAACUUUAAAUCCAAUUUUUUUUAGGUUAUCUUUCAAGGUUUUAAAAGCAUUCUUUUGUUGUCAUUUAUUAAGAAGUUGAUCCAACUAAUUAAUUAUAUAUUUUUUUUGUUUAUUUAUAAAAUAUUGGGGAUUUGUUUUUGCUUUUUGUUUUAUUGUUGAGUUGAGGUAUGAAUUGAGUUCAAAUGAGUAGAUUCCUUUCAAAGACCCUCGUGUGUUAAACUUAAUCUAACCACUAAUAGCAUGCCACAUCAGCUUCUCCUCGUGGCCUUGUCCACAUAUAUAAAAUCUCAAAUUUUUAUGAACCCUUCUUUUAGUUCUUUCUUUUUCUAUAUUAUUUAUUUGAUGUUGCUCUUUCUUUUUAAUUAUAGUCUAUAAGACUUUUUAGCCAUUAUAAGCUAAAGAUGAGAUUGAAAAUCAAAUAUUAAUGAUAUUUCUAUGGUGGAGAGUUUGAAGAUUAUCAUCAUCAUCAUCAUCACAGUCGUUAUUUGCAGAUGUAGCAUCAUCAAGAUUCACAUAUGAAUGAUGUAGUGGAACACUGCUCUCAUGCUAAUCCAUUGAUUUUUUGAAGUGAGAAUCUUGAUGAUGCUGCAUCAGCCAUUAAUGACUUUAUAAAGUUUUAUGAAAGUGAAGAAUGCAAAAAUAUUCAGAAACUGUCUAUAUAUGAGAUCAAGAACACUCACUCCCUUUGAUACUUUCUUUCAGACAAUAUUCCUGCUAGGUUAUGGAAUUUGGAAUAUAAGCUAAUUUUGGGACUGAGUUGUUUGUGUGUGUGGCUGUUAUUGUUAGGUUCCUUAUGUGCUGACUUCAUAGAUCUAUGAAUAUUCUUUUUACAACAGAAAUACUAACUGAAGAGUAAUAAUGGUGUCUUUUUCAUUUUCUUAAUUAAUGUAUUACAUGGAGUAUAUAUACAUGGAAAUAUUACCUUAUCCGAUCUAGAGGGAAUAAAUUUAUGUUUACAAUAGAAGAAUGAGAGGGAAAUAAUUAAUAUUUGAGAUUUUAGGUCACCGAAGUUAUGUUUGGAUUGAUGGAAUACGAUGAAAUGGAAUGAAAUGGGAUGAAAUAUAAUAAUGUUUCAUUGCUUGGAGUAUAAUAAUGUUCCAUUGAGUGGUAUUCGUUCUGUCUAUUUUUGUAUUUGGGAAUGUUGGAUCGGCCUCUUCAGUACUUCUUAUUUGCGGUAAAAAAAAAGAGAAGAGUGAAGUAGAGAGAUGAAUUCGGAGGGAAAUUUUAGAAGGGUUGGAUAUAGAGCUGAUCUUGUUAAGAGGAUAUAAGUUUAUAGUUAGAUUUAUGUUAAUUUGAUUAAUUAGUAUAAUUCGAUUAAGAAAGAUUUAUAAUCAUCUUUGUUAAGUUUUUUUUCAUACACUUAUAGUUAUCUGAUUAUAUACAAGUGGUGUUCGCUUUUUUUUUUUAAUGGAAAAAUAUGUUAGAUAAACUCACACUCGAGUAGAAGAUAUGCCCGAAUAAGAGUAAAGUGUUCACACAAUUUGUAUUAUGUAUUUGAAUUCUCUCUUUCUUUUUUGAAUGGUAAACAAAUUAUAUAAGAGAGAGAAGUAUAAGAAGUACUCAUAUUUGCUAUAAAGAAGAUAACAAGAAAAUACAGAGCUCACAGAAAAAGAUAAGAUCAAAGAAAAUUCAACCCUAAUAUAUAAGAAGGCGAAAUAAAAAGCAAAAAGUUAUCUAUCCCGGUAGAUAGAGAGUUCCACUACCAUGGGAAAGAGACCUAUAGGACAUUUACCCAAAAACCACUUUCAAAAAAAGAAUGUCAAAAAAUUCAUCAAUUAUUCAACAUUCACAACCUUAUUGUAUUUUUGCAAUAUGAUCCUCUCACGUUCCUAUAUCUCUCUUUAGGGAAAAAAAUACAAGAGUGAGAGGUAAGAAUAUUAAUUAAUUCGAUUAAUUCUAUUUGUGCAGAGCUGUGUCUAAUAUCUAUUAGGAGGGUAUAACUAUGAAAAGAGGAAGAAGUCGUGCUACAAGAAAAAUUUCCGCCGCUACCAUAGUAGCAGCAUGUAUAAGAGCGGAAAUAGGAGUAGGACAAGAAAGAUAAUUGGUAUACAAUGUGAUGAAGUUGGUAGAACAAAUUAAAGUAUAUAUGCUUUUUGGUUAUGGUUAUUAUGUAAGGGGUGUAUUUUUAGAUAGUUUUAGUAUAUAUACUUUAACUGGCUUAUAUGUCUCUAAAUAUUUUCUUACAAAGUGUAGUUGAUUGGAGUACCCUUUACAUAUUUUUUAAGAACUAUUUAUUUAUAAAAAAAAAAUCCCAAUUUUUUAUAAUUUAGUAAAAAAAAAUUAUUUCCAUCAAUAUUUGCUUUAAGUUGCAUUCAUAUAAUCUAAAUUCCAGGUCUCCGAAUUCAUGCUACACUCGAUCCACCCCUGCUCCGAAGAAUUAAUUAGCUCACCUCGAAGGGUUGGAACGUCCAAAUAGGUAUUACGUAAGAGAUUCAAUGUUCGAUCUCAGCUACUAAUAAUUCUCUUUCUUCUAAUUAACUUCAAUAUGUUGCCUUGACCAAAAAAAGAAUCAAAUAUGUUAUUUUUUUGUGCUAAUUAUAUUGAAGAUAUAUAUAUAGAUGGACAUGAUUUGUGAAUUGUUAAUUACUUGGAAUAUGCAGAUUCUUAAAGCCAAAUGUAUUCUUGGUUUGGGGAAGGGCUUAUAAAUAAUUUGUGUCCCCAUGACCACCAGCUUCAUCCUUGUUUGUUUACUAGCUACAUUUAAUAUUAAUUAUAUAUGUAUCUAUUGGAGUUAAUUAAAUUAGAAAAUUUGAAGUAUAUGGACAUGUUCCAAGUGGUUUGCAUAUGAGGAUCAAUGAAAAUUGAAGCUAGCUAGCUUGGGAAUUGAAUAUGUAAAAUCACGGAGUACAUGAUUGUGUCAGUUUCAUAUUUGUCAAGGCUUUGGCUUUAGCAUGCACUGAAUCACUCACUAAGCCAGUACUCAUGGAUGUGUAGUAGUGGAAGUACUCUUGCAUCAUAUUGGUAAGUCAUCUCAAUUGCAGAGAUAUUUCAACUCAUCAAUUAUUCACCUUUUUUAUUGUAAAAUAAAAUAUAUUCCAUUUCUAUUUAUAA